GUUGGUUGGUUGGUUGGGAGAAGGCAGUUGGGAAAACAGUUGGCAGACAGUUGGAAACAGAGAGACAGUUAGUGCAGUUGGUUCUUGUGUGAGGGGAGGUAGAAGAGUUAGAGACAGAAUAAAAUAAGACUAAGAGGGUAAAGAGUAACAGCAUUUCGAAUGCAUUUAAAGUUUAUUUGUGUUUGCAAUAAACUACAAUCUCCAUUGUUAACUUAAGAACCUGGCUGAGACUAAGUGAUUUACCGGGGAGGACCUGGUUGGUGGCAGCAGAUUAGUGGUUUACAGGUCAAUAGUCCGUGAGACGACCGGGGGGGGCUCCGAACGAAUGCCACACCCCCCUCAAAUGAGAGAGGGAGAAAGAGACUUGGAACCAGUUGCAGUGCAGAGAAGACCUGAGCAGGAGUUUCCCUUUAUUACCAACGAUUAGUUUUUCCCUUUGAAAAACACUUUGCACAAUCUUCUGCAUUAACCAAUCAACAUGAAAGAUCACAUCUCUGUGCCCAGCUGCAUGGAAAUGGUACGUUGGAGAGUAAAAAGUUAGUCUGAAGGCCUCCUUCAAAUAUGUGGCAAGAAGGACGCUCUUUAUUUGUAAGAUGACUGACUUAAAAAAAAUAAUUAUAAUUUCUAGUUAUUUACAUUUCAAUAGUUUUACAAUCAUUCUAACAUUUCAAAACUCGACUUCCUCCCUCCUCUCUCUGCAGUUCCUUAAAUUUAUUUUUUACAGUUCCUGCAUAUUCUAACUUAACUUAAUCUUUUAUUCACUUACUUUAAAUAUAUGCUUUUAUGAAACUGCAGGUUAUUACAAUAAUCCUGCCAAUAUCCUUAUCUGUUUACAGUUUGUUUGUAAAUAUUCAACAAACCAUUUCCAUUCUUUUAUAAAAGGUUUGUUAUCUUGAUUUCUUAUUCAUCUGGUAAGUUUCACCAUUUCUGCAUAUUCCUUUUUUUUUAAUCCAUUCUUCUUUUGUCGGGAUUUCUUUCCAUUUUGGGGCAAAUAACAUUCUUGCCGCUGUAGUCACAUACAUGAAUAAAUUUGAAGAUGUCUGACUGACUGAGACUCUGGGCCUCAGCUGCAUCUUUGUACCAAAAUAAACAGUUUAAAGUUCUUUCAUAAGAAGCGGUGACUGUUCUUGGUGCAAGCCAGAGAACACCUCUUCACCUAUUACAACAAUAUAUUUCUCUAUGCUUGCUUUAACGAGGCCAGCCUAUACAUAUCUACUCAGAAGUAAGCCCCACUGAAAUUCAACGGGACUUGCUCCCAUGUAAAUGUGUUGGGAUUGCAGCCGCAGUUAGGGCUUAUCUGCUUUCCCCCAGGAAGAAGCAGUGCAAAUGUCAACUGGGUUUUCUCAGGAUCGAUGUUUGCUCCAAUUUAGCACUAAAGAGUGGGUUUUCUGGGAUAAAGAGGUGGGCCAAAGCGAAACCACACAGCCCCAUGCUUUCUAGCCACAGGACAAAGGGAAGUGUAAACAAGUCCUUAAUAUUUCAAUUGGACAAGAACAGAUAACAGUGAAUCUGCAUUUCAUCCAUCCAUUCAUUCAUUCACUGAAUUUAUAUAUUGCCUUAUACCCGGAGGUCUCAGGGCAGUUCACAGAAAAUAUCACAAUAUAUAAAAUCAAAAUAAGAACAGCGGGGAGAGCAUUCUACAGAUGGGGAGCCACUGCAGAGAAGGCCUGUUCUUGGGUUGCCACCCUCUGGACCUCUCAAGGAGGAGGCACAUGAAGAAGGGCCUCAGAAGAUGAUCUCAGGGUCCAGAUGGGUUCAUAUGGAAAGAGGUGGUCCUUGAGGUAUUGCGGUGCUGAGCCAUUAUCAGGACAACAUUAAAUGUUACCUAUGCCCCCAUUGCUCACACUGGCUGAGAUAUGGGAGUUGUUUUCCGACAGUGCCAUUCCAUAGUGCCAUUUUCCAUAGUGGGGAGUGUGUGUUAACAACCACAUGGGUGGGGCCCAUAAAAAGAGCUUUUCCCACCUGAUUUGCACGCUGCCAGAAAGUAGAGGCAUUUAAUUGCAUCCUGCCAACAUGGCCUCUUUCUCUGAUGGAAAGAGAAUCAAAGCUCUGAUAAUAGCAGGUCUGUUUCUUUCUUCCCUUCCUGCUUUAGCUCUUUCCCUAAGGACAGGAGUUUGAUUCAGUUGACAUUGUAAUUCCUCUAACAGUUUUAAGUUGAGUUUUCCUCCCUUCUGUGUCCUGAAAGCGGAACGCUCUGCUUUACAACAGCCAAUAGUUUCACUCUGUCGGAGAGAGGAAAACCAAGAUUAUUAUUAUUGUUGUUGUUGUAAGUCCUACAAAGUUCCUAAGAAAAUUUCACAGAAAGGAUGUUGUUUAGAGAUCAGUGAUGUGGAGAUGGAAUUUAAAUAUUAAGAGGCAAGAAUUUGCCUUCUGGUGAAAGAUGAUAUUUGCAUAAUAGCAAGAAGGGCUCCUUUGUUGGAAACAAAAUUGCUGACUGGAAUCUGCAAUUCAGGUGCCUCGAUGAUCUUCAACCUCGUUUGGCAAUGGGAAAUAUGCUAAUUUGGGUGGCUGGUUGUCCAUCAAAGACUGAAUACUCAAUAGGAACAAAACUGAGAGAAUGUACAAACAGUACAGCAAAAGUAGACACUGAGCAAAAAUUCCUCUUCAUACAGGUUCAAUAACAAUUGCUUUUAAUGGAGCUCAACCAGUUUACACCAUCUGAAGAGCUGACCCAGAACAUGAGUAAACAAGCUUAGUCUGUCUGAAUAUUUCAAAACUGCUUACCUCACAGAAAAAUCCUACUGAGGUAAGGAUGUGAAAAUCCAUUAUAAAAAUGCAGUGUUUUGCCCUCUUUCUACCUUGGUAAUAAUUGUAAAUUUAAUGCUAUCUGCUAAUAUGUUUUUGCCUUAGGAUACUCUGUGGCACAGUCAGGCAAACCAUUUGAGUUCGCAAAAGAAGAAUGAAUAUGUUUUACACAAACGUUGUCCGGCUUCGUUCUGAAACUCACUGGACAGCAAUGGGUAAAUCACUCUCUUCCAGCCAAACCUACGUCAGAAGGGAGUUUGGGGGCUAAAAUACCAGUUCUUUUGAGGAAGGGCAUAGAAGUUCAUGAAUCCUCAGGAGAUAACGUGCUGCUUGGUAGUGACCUCAAGGCUUGGCUGCUACAAAGAGGUCCUGUCUUUGUUCAGAAGUCAGUUGUUUCUGAGAAAUGAAACAAUAUCUGAAGCUGUUGUGGGAAGAGCAAUAAUGGACUGUUGGUAUGAAGUUAAGCAUUUCAAUAUCCUCCUUCCUAUGUACACCCCACUGUACAUAAAAAUGAUCAUGCCAGGGGAAAGAGGUCUAGCCUAUUAUUUUCCUUAACAUUGUAAUUUUGUACAAGUGUAUAGGGCUUGUAUAGGGAGUCGAUAUUCAUAAAUGAAAUCCCUGCUCCUACAGCCUGAAGAUGUACAGUGCAUUGACAGCUAAGAAUGGAGGGAGAGACCUGCAGUAUUAGACCAAAGGCCUAUUUAAUCCAUUAUCCUGUUUACACAAACUAUGGAAAACCAGAAGCAGGAGAUGGGAUGGUGGCAUUCAGAAGCAAGCUGCCUUUGAUCCUGGAGGUCACAGGGCAGCCAGAAAGGUCACCCUUGCUAGCCUGGGCUCUUGGCAACAGCAUUGCUGCCAGGGGGGUGAGGGGGCAAGGCAGUGGGGAUCUUGGUUAAACCCUCCUGGGUUUAGACUGCACUCUUAGUUUAAUAAAUGAUAGUUCAUGGAAUAAUAACAUUGUAGAGUUGGAAGGGAGCCCAAACAUCACCAAGUUCAACUGCCUGCAAUGCAGGAAUCUCAACUGAAGCAUCCAUGACAGAGGAUCAUCCAGCCUCGGCUUACAAACCUCCAAGGAAGGAGUCCACCACCUCCAAAGGGAAACCGUUCCACUGUCAGACAGAAAGUGCUUCCUGAGGUUUAGUCAGAAUCUCCUUUCUUGUAACUUGAAUCCAUCGGUUUGGGUCCUACCCUCCGGAGCAGGAGAAAACAAGCUUGCUCCAUCUUCCAUGUGACAGCCCUUUAGAUAUUUGAAGAUGCCUGUCAUAUCUCCUCUCAGUUUCCUCUUUUCCAGCCAAAACAUAACCAGCUCCUUCAAGUGCUCCUCAUAAGGCUUGGUUUCCAGACCCUUUGUCAUCUUGGUUGCUGCACGAAUUCUGUUCACUCAGAAAUGGAGGUCUCAAGUAGCAUUUAAUAUCAAUGAACAGAUGGAUAAGUUUGGGGAUAUAUUUAUUUUUUGCUUUAAUAUUGAAUUCAGUAUGUUUUCUGAGAUCCAAAAAAAUGGGACAAAGACAAAUUAACUUUAAUGCAAACCGGACCCUGUUUUUUUUUUUUUAAUACAGUGGUACCUCGGGUUACAGAUGCUUCAGGUUACAUACACUUCAGGUUACAGACUCCGCUAACCCAGAAAUAGUACCUCGGGUUAAGAACUUUGCUUCAGGAUGAGAACAGAAAUUGUGCAGCAGCGGCGCAGCAGCAGGAGGCCCCAUUAGCUAAAGUGGUGCUUCAGGUUAAGAACAGUUUCAGGUUAAGAAUAGACCUCCAGAAUGAAUUAAGUACAUAACCAGAGGGACCACGGUACUGUCAGAAGGAUGUUUGCCUCCCUAAGAUAAAGUACAAUUACUGAGGGAUUUUAAAAGGUCUUGAAUUUGCAUGUUUCUUUCUUUUCUGCUUCUACUACCCUAUGUCAAAAUUAGGGAUUUAUGAGGAGAUGGUAGCAAUAAUGUUUCUGGCUUUGUGCUCACCCCUCCCUCAAACAACUUGGAAACAAUCUCUGCUGUGGGCAGGAGGAAAAGGUGAUGACAUUGACGAUGUAUCUGAAAUGGAUUUUCCUCUCCCAAAAAACCAUCGGGAACAAUCAGGAGAAAUGUGGUGGUGGUGUUUAUAAAGCCUCUGCAAUGCCAACAGCAACAAAUAAUAGCCUCCCAAACCAUCAACCCUCAUGAGCCACUGUUUCUUGGUUCCACCAACUGCAGUUGCACAGUGUCACUUGUUAAGUGUGGAAGAAAGAAAACCAGAAGAAACUCAGUUGACUGCUGUUCCAUCGGUGUAAGUUCGUCACAGUCGGGAUCAUGCUCCAAAUGUGAUAUUUGCGCACACACGAUUUACCACUGCCUGUUUGUUAAAGUUUAUUCUGGGCUUCAGAUCUGUUUGUAAGUGAUUUCCUGUGACCUUCCUUCAGUUGUUCAUGGAUCCUCCCUGGGCUUUACUGAUGGUGGCAUAAAAAAAAGCAAGUGGGGGAAAAAGCAGUGUGAACAGGAAAGGAAAUUUGAUUCACAAUGCUAAUUGUGCCAAUAUGUGAAGCCCUUUUUUCCUCCUGUCUUGUUCAAAGUCAGAGGGUUCCUUUUUCAGGGAGGAAGUGGUUCAAAGUGCUGGCUUCCUGUUAUGUUGUGUUAAAGGGCUUUUAGCAGAGGAACGGUAUCGUUUGUGAUGGGAAGAUGUUCGGCUUUGAUCAGGAGCUUUUGUGCUCUCUGAACACCCUUGUUCUGUUCAGUAUGCUGCAUGCGCGCCUGUGGGUUGCUUGAUCUAUGUGCAGCGUAUUUUGUUCACUGUCGUUCUUGUCACAGUAUUAUGCAAAGCUUAUUAAAAUGCAGAAACUUUCCUCCCCUUACAAUUAUUUCUCCUAUGCAAUUCUUAUGACCUCUGGCUAAGGCACCUACUGUAUAUCCCUUACAGAGUAAUGAGCUUUUGUUUCUGCCGAGAAAUGUUGGUUUAGCCUUCCUCUAGUCUAUAAAUCUACAUGGGUUGCGCCAGUGUAUCUAUGCAGCAAUGUUGACUCUCCUGCAGUUUCUUUCGUCCUCAGCUCCUGUUGUGUACAUAAAUAGAAACCAAACUGAGAGAAGAUUAAGAGCAGAUGCCCUAUCCUGAAUAACUGUCAUAAGCAGGCUUCAAAAUUGAUGUAUAUCUGAAUGGAAACCUACUGGUGCACUUAACUUUAACCCCAUCCCUCCAAAUUAGGAGCUCGGAAAUGUAUUGAGCCUUCAAGUGCCUAUGAAGUGCUUUUGCAUUGUUACAUUACUCUGUCAAUACUGCUCCCACUUCAUCUCAGACAGAAUAGUGCUGAUUGUUAAUGAAGAUAAAAUGGCUGCAUUUUCUGACUUGUAUAGAGCAGCAUUGCUCAGCAGCUAACAGUGCGAUGCUAGGUUUACUCACAAGUAAGUCCCGCUGUGUGCAUAGGAUUAUGCUGUGAAUGUCUUGGUUUUGGAUGAAAGAGGUCUGGACUUACAGACUCUUUGGGUGGUUUUGAAUGAACUGUUAACUCUUAGCUUCAUUCCUCUCUCCCACAUCUAUGCAAUGAGAAUAGCUGGAACCUACUUCACAGGACUGUUGUGAAGAAAAAAUAGGAAGGUUGUAAAGCAUUUUAACUAGUGUUCUAUGAAUAACACUAGUUAUUCAUAAUCAUAACCAAUAUGUUUCUGGGAAUUGGGAGCUAGGGAAAACUGAGACCAUCAUGUUCAAAACCUAUCUUUGCAAAAAGCAAAAGAAAACACCUGGUUGAAUCUAUAAAGAGCAGAACUGCUAACUGCUGGAGGCCUCUAUUUUAGAGCUUUUAGAUCAAAUUUUAUUUUUAUCUUUCCACCACACAAAUGGUGAAUUGCCUUCUGUUCUCUUGUUACAGAAGCCGAGAUGGCAUCUGUAGAGAGCCGUUAUUCUGGAUUAGCAUGGCUAUAGCUAAAAGCCAAUUUUGUCUCCGUGCCUGUAAAAAGGGAGGGCAUUGGUACUUUUGAAAUUUGCCUGCAUAGCAAUAAAAUGCUUUAAUUUUUUUGUCUAUCCCACAACAAACCCAGGAGGCAGAUCUUUAGCACGUCCUUUUAUAGGUUAUAGGUUACUCCAGCUUAUCAGCUUUGUAAGAUCUCCCUGAGGUAGUGCAAUGGGUCAGUUCAUCUGUCAAGCCCACCCAGGGAUGGCUGUGGGCAAGAUUCCUUCAUUGUACGUUGUUGGACUAGAUGAUCCUUGGAGUCCCUUCCAAUUAUACAAUUCUUUGAUUCUACAGUAUGUGACGCUAUCAAGGUCUCUGUUGAAUCAUCCUAUACACUUAUGGGGGUGGACUUACUCGUCUCCAGUGGCACUGACAACUGUCAUUUAUACAACUAGAAUUCUCCAACAUGGGAUCAUUAUGGGGUAUCUUGUGCUUGGGCAUUCCGGGAGUAAAAAUAGCAGCUGUCAAUACCUGGGUCACUGCUAAUUUCUUCUGCAGCAAACAUAUUGCUUGUACUGGUCAAUUUCUUCUCCAGCAAGCAAAUUAAACAUUCCCUUAGAUUUGCUUUGUUCAGAUCUCCUGGGUCCGGCAGCUUCUCCGUAAUUAUUAUUGGAUUGACCCACUCUGUACAUCCUUCUGUUUUAACUACCACUUUCCCCCCUUCAUACAAUUAAGUUCCUUUUGACCUUUAUCUUUUCUUGGCAUUGGAGCCCUCAAAGCCACAUGAAUUGCAGGUUGCACCCUUGGAUUCAUUUGUAUGGAUUAUUCUCUGCUAAGGAUCCUAGUCUGUUUGUAGUCUGUCUCAGCAUGUCUGUUCUGUCCUAGAUCUGCUUGAGGCUCCUGCAGAAGCUGCCUUGAAGCAGCAGCAAUUCCUGGGAGAGCAGGGUCAUGUCUAGUAGAACGGAUUCACAUCUGAUAUGGCAGAGUCAAGAAAGGCUAGGCGGCAUCGCAGCAAGUAGGUAUGCUCUAUCAGGACCCUGGACAGAUCACUGACUAGAAUUCACUCAAGGAGAGCUGUUGUUUCAGUAGAUGUCUUCUGUAGGCUGGUUGUUCUGGACCAGCUGAGAAGCUGUCUAUACAGUGGUACCUCGGGUUACAUACGCUUCAGGUUACAGACUCCACUAACCCAGAAAUAGUACCUCGGGUUAAGAACUUUGCUUCCGGAUGAGAACAGAAAUGGUGCUCUGGCGGUGCGGUGGCAGCGGGAGGCCCCAUUAGCUAAAGUGGUGUUUCAGGUUAAGAACAGUUUCAGGUUAAGAACGGACCUCCGGAACGAAUUAAGUAUGUAAGCAGAGGUACCACUGUCUUACUUAAAGUUUGGCAGCUUCUGACUCCUCUGGUGUGGGGGCAGUGAGGAUCAUAUCGCGGGGAGCUCUCCAAAUCUGAAGAGUUGGGUAAAGCCACAUCUUCUGGUCUGGAAGAUUAUAGAGUGAGGAACAUUGGCUCUCUGGAUGGUGCCUUCUCCCUCUGAAAUGGGUUGGGGAUUGAGGCCAGAGAAUAUGACACUAACAUCUAUCUUCUGGACCUGCUUUUAUUAAAUUUAUUCCUUAUAAGUUUUAAUGAGAUUAGUCAUGGCCCUUAGACCCAGUGUAACUUGUGUAUCAAACUCUGC